UUUAAAAGCGCAAGCGAAUGAUUAAAGGAAUUGCGAUGAUCAAGGAUAAUUAUUAGUGAGAAGAAAAAUUUAACAUUUUGGAGAUGCAUUUUGUUCUCAACCAUUGUCAAGGCAGAUAACUUUGGCAAUAUGAGUCAUUCACCAUCAGAGAAAAGUCUUUCGUCCAUGGAUGGCCCCUCUCUAUCUCGGAAAAAG